GCGGCACGCCUAACACAUGCAAGUCGAACGAAGUAGCAAUACUUAGUGGCAGACGGGUGAGUAACAUGUGGGUAUCUGCCCUUUGGCCUGGAAUAACACGAGGAAACUUGUGCUAAUACCGGAUAAGUCUUUACGGAGAAAGCUUUAUGCACCAUUGGAUGAGCCCGCACUUGAUUAGUUAGUUGGUAGGGUAAUGGCCUACCAAGACUGUGAUCAAUAGCUGAUUUGAGAGGAUGAUCAGCCACAUUGGGACUGAGACACGGCCCAAACUCCUACGGGAGGCAGCAGUGGGGAAUCUUGCACAAUGGAGGAAACUCUGAUGCAGCGAUGCCGCGUGAGUGAAGAAGGCCCUUGGGUUGUAAAGCUCUUUCGUCGGGGAAGAAAAUGACUGUACCCGAAUAAGAAGGUCCGGCUAACUUCGUGCCAGCAGCCGCGGUAAUACGAAGGGACCUAGCGUAGUUCGGAAUUACUGGGCUUAAAGAGUUCGUAGGUGGUUGAAAAAGUUGGUGGUGAAAUCCCAGAGCUUAACUCUGGAACUGCCAUCAAAACUUUUCAGCUAGAGUAUGAUAGAGGAAAGCAGAAUUUCUAGUGUAGAGGUGAAAUUCGUAGAUAUUAGAAAGAAUACCAAUUGCGAAGGCAGCUUUCUGGAUCAUUACUGACACUGAGGAACGAAAGCAUGGGUAGCGAAGAGGAUUAGAUACCCUCGUAGUCCAUGCCGUAAACGAUGUGUGUUAGACGUUGGAAAUUUAUUUUCAGUGUCGCAGCGAAAGCGAUAAACACACCGCCUGGGGAGUACGACCGCAAGGUUAAAACUCAAAUGAAUUGACGGGGACCCGCACAAGUAGUGGAGCAUGUGGUUUAAUUCGAAGAUACGCGCAGAACCUUACCAACACUUGACAUGUUCGUCGCGACUCUAAGAGAUUAGAGUUUUCGGUUCGGCCGGACGAAACACAGGUGCUGCAUGGCUGUCGUCAGCUCGUGUCGUGAGAUGUUGGGUUAAGUCCCGCAACGAGCGCAACCCUCACUUUUAGUUGCCAUCAUUAAGUUGGGCACUCUGAAAGAACUGCCAGUGAUAAGCUGGAGGAAGGUGGGGAUGACGUCAAGUCCUCAUGGCCCUUACGUGUUGGGCUACACACGUGCUACAAUGGCAUCUACAACAGGAAG
rnacentral:rRNA from 1 species